rnacentral:tRNA from 1 species
GUGGCUAUGGUGUAUUUGCACAUUAGAUUUUCACUCUAAAAGAUUACCUGCUGGUAAUAGCCAUU